AAAGCAUCUGCCGGGGAUACAUCAAAUAUACAAAAAUCUUUUCCGUUUAAGAGUAUAAAUGAAGUAAUAGCUUUUGAAAAGAAUUUAUCAGAAAAUGCAGAUGAGUACAACAAAUUUAUGCUGUAUAUAUCUCGCAUAGGCGGAGGGUCCGCUAAAGAAAAUUUAAUUCGUAUAUAUCGAACUUUAUUUUCUAAUGAAGUUGCCAAGGUAUCAUCCUGGAAAGGACUACGUAAUCAUUUUAAAAUAAGUAGUUUAAAGUCUAUAUUGACGGGAAUACAAGCAACAAUUUUGGCUCAACAUCAAUUCACAAACAAAGAGUUUGAGGACAUCACGAAAGAAUGGUUUCGCCAAGGUGGUCAAAGGCUUAGCAGACAACAAAAAAACUCCGAAGAGGCAAAUCCGCAAGUUAUUUAAAUGUCUCAAAAGCUUAUUAUUUUUUCAUUAUAAUCUUUUUUCUUAUUAGUCUAUGAGCUUUCGGCUUAUGAUCUUUUUUUUAUUGGCCUAGAGUCUUAAUUAACAUAAGAAAUAUUUUUUUUAAUUAAUAUGUUUUUUUUAUAUUGAAUGAUUUUAACACUAAACCUACCACGACUGGUUAAAUAAUCGGUCAAAACGUUAUCAAAGAUUAAAAAUUUCUGCAUUUGGUAUGCAUAAGUUGUCGGUGGAUUUAGUGUUAAAUACUUAAGUUUUUAGAUUUUUAUGUUCUAAAAUCUAAAAUCAUAGUCUGCACUCUUUUCAUUUUGAGUUCUCAACGUUAUUAUUUGAGUUAAAUACUUCUUUUAGGAGAAUUAGCAGAAUUAAAGUAUGCAUUAUGUUGAUACAUUUAAUACUUUAUCUCAAUCUUUUUAAUUACAAAAAGUAUAAUUGCUUUAUUGUUUUUCUUUCAAAUGAAAAUCGAAUUGCGUUUCCAUUUUUGUUUAAAUUAGAUUUAUUUUAACGGUACACACUUAUAUUAUGUAUUAUUAACAAAUGUGUUAUAAUUAACGAAUCAUACAUGAAUCUCAAAGAUUUUGACAAAUGUGUUUAUGAAAAGUUUAUGGAUGUAAAAAUUAUAGUUUUCAUGUGGGGAGAAGCCUAAAAAACUCAUUUCUUAUUAAUGUAGUAUAGCGUUAAAACAAAAAAUAAUAUCGCAAAUAUUCGAGUGUACCGUGAAGGUUAAAUUUAUCAUAUUAAUUACUAUUAUAAUAAAUUUAUAAUUUAUAAUAUUUAUAAAUUUAAUUAAUUUAUAAUAUUAUUAAUUGUUAUUAGUGUAAUACUAUAUUUUGCAACAAAAUUAGGAAAUUAUUGUACUUCGGCGUAAAAAGGCGUAGAAAGGAUGAAAUUCAAAUUGAUAUACUUUUCGAAAAAAUGAUCACAGAGUGAUAUUUAAAACAGAUUUUAAAGCUAGAAAACAUAACUUCCAAAUGCUCUGACGAAGAUUUCUCUAACGAUUUUUCUUAUACAGAUUUUAUUACAAGUGGUGCUACUUUAAAAUGAGCUUUGGAAUUGUAGAAAAAAACUUCAACUUUAAUAGGCGAGUACGUAGAGAACAAUUUUUUCAUCAAUUUUAUUAAUUGUAAUAAAAUUUAACAUUUUCUC